GCGGAAACGAGUUAUCUGAACCUUCGGGGAACGAUAACGGCGUCGAGCGGCGGACGGGUGAGUAAUGCCUAGGAAAUUGCCCUGAUGUGGGGGAUAACCAUUGGAAACGAUGGCUAAUACCGCAUGAUGCCUACGGGCCAAAGAGGGGGACCUUCGGGCCUCUCGCGUCAGGAUAUGCCUAGGUGGGAUUAGCUAGUUGGUGAGGUAAGGGCUCACCAAGGCGACGAUCCCUAGCUGGUCUGAGAGGAUGAUCAGCCACACUGGAACUGAGACACGGUCCAGACUCCUACGGGAGGCAGCAGUGGGGAAUAUUGCACAAUGGGCGCAAGCCUGAUGCAGCCAUGCCGCGUGUGUGAAGAAGGCCUUCGGGUUGUAAAGCACUUUCAGUCGUGAGGAAGGUGGUGUAGUUAAUAGCUGCAUUAUUUGACGUUAGCGACAGAAGAAGCA
rnacentral:rRNA from 1 species